rnacentral:misc_RNA from 1 species
AUGAACCAGAUAGAUCUCUGCGAAAGGCCACAGAUAUAUACAAGAGAAGCAGACCAAAUGCAAUGGAAGUCCCACCAUAGGCACCGGCAAUGUAAAUCUACCUUAUAGUGACAAACUUGUUGGUACCAUGUUUGGCCCAGUGAGUCCUCAAAUCAAUUGGGUUAACAAAGUUAUAACCUUCAGCAGCAAGUUUCUCCAAUACCUUCUUAAAUGCACCCUGGCUCAUUUUCCUUCCAGCUAUCCUUGCACCACGUCUUUUAGUGCUCAUUGGCAAGGGGUACAUUGAUACAUUGGUAGUGCAACAAGCAGACUGCCAUCCACCGCAGCCCCAUCGAUAACACUGCUGAGGAGUUCCAGUACAAGAGCAAACUGGAAUAGGAAUACCUGAAAUAUCCA